rnacentral:misc_RNA from 1 species
GAACUUGUCGGUUUUCUCUUUUCAAUGCAAUUCCAUAUCAUGUAAUUUUGUCAUUUUCUGCAUGUAUGGGAGCAUAGUUCCACAUUGCCACAGCCAAAGGAUUCACUUGAAGCAUAUAUGGACUAAGGUUCCACAAGGAGUUCUUACAGUUCAAAAUUUGAAAUCAAUUUAUGUUUCAUGAGAUUCUGAAAAAUCUCUUUCCUGCCUCCAUAGCAAGAGUCUGUUUUCUUUGGCAACUUCAACACC